GGCUUUUGCAGGACUCACGUGCGAACAACGGCGCAGAGUGUGAUCUGAGGGUGGAUUCUCAGCUCUCUGCCUGCGGGAGAUGCUCUUCAUUAUCAACCUGAGCCUCUUGCAGCUUUGAAGUAGAGAACAGCCCUGCACUUGCAAAGGUGCAAAGGUGGUCUUCCUGAGUGCUGCAGAUGGAAAUCACACUACUCGCCACGAUGCUCACCGUGGACUCAAGUUUUAUUCCUUCUCUUACAGAACACAUGUGGUUGGGCGUGGUGGCUCAUGCCUGCACUCAAGUUGCUGAGACAGGAGGAUCGCUGCUAGUUCAAGGACAGCCUCAGCUAGAUAGUGAGUUCAAGGCCAGCUUGAAUUACAUAAAGAGAUACUGUCUCAAAAAAAAGGAACAUACUGUGACCAAGCAUGUAGAGAUCAUAGCAAUGCAGAUACAAGCCCAGAAAUGACACUGCCAGUAGAAGCAAAAGGAAACAUAAAAUAAAUUUUCUCUGUUGCCUCUAAGGUGACUGUGGCCCUGCCAACCCCUUAAUUUCAGCCCAUUGACAAUGAUUUGGGACUUCUGGCCUUCAAACUGUGAGCCAAUAAAUUUCUGUUGUUUAAACCACCUAGUUUAAAAUGCUCACAGUGGUGCACACGUAUAAUCCCAGCUAUUUAGGAAGCUGAAGCAGGAGAAUCUUGAGUUUGAGGCCAGCCAGAACAACAUUAAAUUAAAAAAGAAUUAAACAGGUUGGGCAUAGCAGCACAUGCCUGUAAUCCCAGAACUCAGGGAGCUGAAUCUGGUGAAUUAAAGUUUGAAGCCAGGUGUUAUAGCACACACCUGUAACCCCAGCACCCUAGAAGGCUGAAGCAGGAGGAUCACCUCAAAUUCAAAACCAGACUGGGCUACAUAGCCAGUUCAAAGCCAUUUUGAAUUACAUAGGGAGAUCAUGUCUCAAAAAACAAAUACAAAAUAAAAAAGGGUGCGAUCCCAGUUUGGGAUACAUAACAAAUUCAAGGUCAGCCUGGAUGGGGAGGGAGAUUUAAACAAAAGAAUGUUAGCUGGGUGUUAGCUGGGCAUAGCGGUGCAUAUGCCUGUAAUCCCAUCAUUCUGGAAGCAGAAGCAGGAGAAUUGUUGGAAGUUUGAGGCCA
rnacentral:lncRNA from 1 species